rnacentral:lncRNA from 1 species
GAAGAAGGGGCGGAACCAAAGACAAACUUUGGCCAAAGGCAGCUGCCGAUUACUGAGAUGGAGAGAGACCAAAGGAGGAGCAUCCUGGGAGUGAGGGAGACCAAGAAUUUAAUUUAAAAUAUAAUUUUGAGGCUUUGUGCCUGCUGGCUCACAGCCUGGCUCUGCUAGAUUCCUGCUAUUGUCCCUCAACUUGAAGAUGCAACUCAAAGUCCAUGUGUAACAUGAUCCCAACUCCAAAGAUGGACCUGUCUCCAGUUCUAGAGCAUUCUACAUGAGACAUAGAAUGCUGACUCCUCCCUUGGCUUCCUGACCAUUGCAAUGUGGCCUUUGCUUUGAGGAGAAACAAGGCUCCAGGGACCUCAGAUCUCAAAUUCUUGCUAUGACAGCGAGGUCUCAUUAAUGAGGACUAAUUGUUGGAGGACGAAGCUGAGUUACUGAGAAGUCAGACCUGAAAAUCUGCCGCACUACUCUGUCAUGUUGAAACCAUCUUAGAAUUCAAUCCAGCUCGGAGAGCUCACCCAUCCAUCUUGGCAUCCAGCAGACCCCGGCUUUCAGGAAUAGCUGUGCGCAAUCUAAAAUUAUCUUACUAACUACUUGAAUGUGAAUGUAAAUGCAUGAUUUAAAAAUGCUGGAGGGGACUGAAAGAAAUGAGUUCUUCUAGGUGUUGGGAACACUAGCCCCUCAAUCUCACUUAGCUUGUUAAUUUGUUUCCCAAACAUUUGCUGGAGCUGCUGCAAGGGAGAUUUUCCGUGGGCUUGUCCUGAACUCUCUGAGGUUUAAACUCAGUUUCUACAUUCCCCGUUUCCUCUUUAUCUUUUCUCAUUUUACAUCUGUGUGCAGCACUCUGUCUCUGUAUGGUUAUUAUCGAUGGAGUGAACUCAAAACUUAAGAAAUGGUGACCAAGUAUCAAAGCUAAUAAACACCCCACACACACACACACAUUCUACCUGUCUCCUGUUUCCCUUUUGGGAGGGAGUUUGAUGUGCUCUCGUAGACGUGAUAGGGACCCAACUCUUAUGUGAACAGCGUUUCUCCGCGGUACCCAUGGCAACAAUCCCAGGAUCUGGUCUGCAUCAUUCAUCCAGACAUGGAUCAUGCCCUGCUUCCCUCUUCCUGUGCUUAUUCAAUGCCCCACCAAGGUAUGAGAGACAAGACCCUCACUCUGUAAUAAAGAAUUCAA